rnacentral:rRNA from 1 species
CACGGGGGGAGCAAGCGUUGUUCGGAAUCACUGGGCGUAAAGGGCGUGCAGGCGGUCAGGUAAGUGGGAUGUGAAAUGCCCCGGCUCACCCGGGGACCUGCAUCCCAAACUGCUUGGCUUGAGUAUGGGAGAGGAUGAGGGAAUUCCUGGUGUAGCGGUGAAAUGCGUAGAUAUCUGGAGGAACACCGGUGGCGAAGGCGGCGUCCUGGACCAACACUGACACUGAGGAGCGAAAGCCAGGGGAGCAAACGGG